rnacentral:lncRNA from 1 species
CUUAGUCCUUCUCUUGUACAAAUGAUGUACUUUGAAGACCGUUAGUGUAUAACAGAGUUGUUUGUUUCCUCUUUGAUUUUAAACAGAGAAAAUAAAAGGAGUUACAGCUCCUUUUUUCUUUCCUUUUUUUCAUUUCAAAGUUGCUACCAGUGUAUGCAGUAAUUAGACAAAGAAGAAGUUCAGUAGACCAUUUUAUUGCCUAGUUGACAACAUUGCUUGAAUGCUGGUGGUUCUAUCCCUUUGACACUACACAGUUUUCUAAUAUGUGUUAAUGCUACGUGAUGAGAUGCCCUGGUUCCUAGUGCCAAAGGUUCAACUUACUGUAUAUACCUGGAAACCCACGCAUUUGUGCUUCUUUUUUUUUUUUUUAUGGUGCUUGACGUCUGUAAACAGCCCAUCCUCUGCAAGUCCAUCUAUGUUGUUCCUUAGGCAUUCAUUCUAUCUUUGCUCAAGUUGUUGAAGGAUGGUGGUUUGUUUCAUGGUUUUUGUAUUUGAGUCUAAUGCACGUUCUAACAUGAUAGAGGCAAUGCAUUAUUGUGUAGCCAUGGUUUUCCGGAGAAGUUGAUAUUUUAG